GAUGAACGCUGGCGGCGUGCCUAAUACAUGCAAGUCGAACGAAACUUCUUUAUCACCGAGUGCUUGCACUCACCGAUAAAGAGUUGAGUGGCGAACGGGUGAGUAACACGUGGGCAACCUGCCCAAAAGAGGGGGAUAACACUUGGAAACAGGUGCUAAUACCGCAUAACCAUAGUUACCGCAUGGUAACUAUGUAAAAGGUGGCUAUACUACCGCUUUUGGAUGGGCCCGCGGCGCAUUAGCUAGUUGGUAGGGUAAAGGCUUACCAAGGCAAUGAUGCGUAGCCGAAUUGAGAGGUUGAUCGGCCACAUUGGGACUGAGACACGGCCCAAACUCCUACGGGAGGCAGCAGUAGGGAAUCUUCCACAAUGGGCGAAAGCCUGAUGGAGCAACGCCGCGUGGGUGAAGAAGGUCUUCGGAUCGUAAAACCCUGUUGUUAGAGAAGAAGGUGCGUGAGAGUAACUGUUCACGUUUCGACGGUAUCUAACCGGAAAGCCACGGCUAACUACGUG
rnacentral:rRNA from 1 species